rnacentral:lncRNA from 1 species
CAUCAGUGGGGUGUGCUAAACGAAGGCUGCCUGUGCUGUGUGUAAAGCUUACGCCCAGAACUAGCCUAAGCUGCUUUCAACCCACUCCUCCCAGCUGAAAACACUCGUGUCAGGAUUUAGACAUAACCAAGAAGCAUCAGUUCCUAACUACGGAACCACAGUUCACUCAGGUCAGUGUUGAGACACCUAGAGUGACCACAGGAGGAUUGCCACCUUCUGCUUCCCUAUGCUCUGUGUCUGCAGUUUCCCCUAGAUCAUCCCCUGAGAACUGAGGCGUGAGCUCUUCCUCAGAGGUCAGUGAGGGUGAACGCUGAAGGCUGGGAAGGGAGUGGAAUCAGCCAGCUCAUGGCGCUAACUGUAGGCCACAUGCGCACAUCUUACCAAUAGCCAAUGUGGGUUGGCAGACUAGUCAGACCCCGUGGAACAGGAAGUCUGACCCCGCAGGAGCUCUUGAAACUACCGGUGCCUGAGCCACACUCAGUGCAGGGCUGAGUUAGGCUCUGGCUCAGUUCCCAUUCUUUGGUCUGAAACUUCAUGUAUCUGAAUAUAGUUAAAUUUUAUUAUUUUUUUCUUACAGAAAUAUUUUUAAAAAUUAAAGAAAACCUCAAGUGAAAAAGAAUUAACCUGUUAAAUCAGAAUGGCUCUCUUUGACCCGUUCUGGUCGAUCAUGUAAAUAUUUAUUUAGACUAUUUUGAUAAUGCAUAUUAUUUACCCCACUGUAACAUCCUGUAAACUAAAUGUGUUUUUAAGCAAUUUUUAAGACUUGUAAUUGCCCUAAAAAAAAGGUUUAUUAAGCCAAGACCAGACUGAGAGCAGGGCAGCAUUGCCGGGCUGUCCUCAGUCUCACGGCGUGGCCUCUGUGGGCCCUUCUCCAUAGUCCUCUUCCUGUAACUAAGCGCCACAGAGGGGGACCCUCUGCUUCCACCUCAGGGCCUGUGCACUUGGGAUAGGAUUGGUCUGCGUGGGAUGAGGGAGAUGUUGGGGUGUACAGGGGAGGAAUGUCACCUCCUGGGCAGUGACGUCCCAUCUCACUAUCCAUUCCUUUACAAAGGAAAUGCCGACUUGUUUUGAAAGUCUUAAAACAAUUAGUUUUGCUUCUUUUUUUUUUUUUCCUUUGAGACAGGGUGUUUUGAUAUAGUCCAGGCGGUUGCCCUCCCCCCACUGGGUUACAGUCGUACUCUGCCAUGUGUAGCUUUUCAGAUGGUCUGUGAUACUUACUAAGCAAAGCAGAGCCUGGGUAGCAAACAGUUCCUUGUGAGCAGUCCCCAAGUUUUAAGGUCCUUCAGUUCUAAGAAGAAAACUUGUAGACCAAUUCCAUCUUGACUGAUAACUCUUACUAAUGCAGAUUAUUACCUUAGUGUCACUGUCCGUGACACAUUGUCUACAGGAAGUGUAAUGUGAGUCACAUCUGUGCUUUAAACUUUCCUAGUAACUACUUUU